rnacentral:rRNA from 1 species
AAUGAACGCUAGCGGCAUGCCUAAGGCAUGCAAGUCGAACGAGAAAGUCGUCUUCGGAUGGCGAGUAAAGUGGCGCACGGGUGAGUAGCACUUAGGUAAUGUACCUUUUCGCUGGGGACAACUUCGGGAAACCGAAGCUAAUACCGAAUACUCCCAAAUUUACUACGGUUUAUUUGGGGAAAGCUUUCGGGCGCGAAAAGAGCAGCCUGAGCCCCAUUAGCUUGUUGGUAGGGUAACGGCCUACCAAGGCGACGAUGGGUAGCUGGUUUGAGAGAAUGAUCAGCCACACUGGUACUGGAAUACGGACCAGACUCCUACGGGAGGCAGCAGCUAGGAAUAUUGCGCAAUGGGGGAAACCCUGACGCAGCAAUGCCGCGUGAACGAGGAAGGCUUUCGGGUCGUAAAGUUCUUUUAUAAGGGAAGAAAAAAAUGACGUUACCUUAUGAAUAAGCACCGGCUAACUCCG